rnacentral:misc_RNA from 1 species
GAAAAUAUUAAAAAAUUGAAAAUAAUUUUGAUAAUAUAAUAAUAUUGUUUUAGGGGUGAUUUAUGAUCUUGGGGUUUGCUUUACUUCCCACCUAGAUGAUGAGAUAAUGAUGUGCCAAACUCAAUUCAAAUGCCGGACAGCAAACUGAAGCCAGAGAGGGACAGUGAGUGUUGAGGAAAAAGGGUAGAGAGAGAGAGAGGAGAGAGGACAGGGCAUUCUCUUACUCUCUGAUUAUUGAUUCCAGUUUGGGUUUAAACAGACGCCAACUGGGUCAGAUUUAGUUUUACUUGUUGGUGAUGGGUAUUCUUUGAAAAAGUUUUCACUCUUGAUGCUACUUUUGGCUUCACAAAGCCGUAAGAGCUACAAAAGAACCGGAUAUAGAAAACAGCCAAUUUUUUCCUUACCUCAUUAAUGAUUCCCUCACAGGUUCCCCCUAAAUAGCAAUUGGGUUCUGUUCAACUUGCUGUUUGUUAUGAUUAGUUUGGUUCUUUUGUGUUCCUGAUAGGAGGUUUUGAUGGGAUUUAAAUGCUCAAUACAACAAUAGGAAGCAAACUUAGUAUUGAACCGUAAAGUGGAAUACUAAGAAGAGAUCAGAGAGGUGGACCACCUUGUUUUCUUAGUCUGUUGAAUAGUUGGUGUCGGUUUCAUGAAGUUUUCGCAUCAUUAUUUGUGGCUUCUAGAUUGGUUUUGUUUAUAAAGCAUUGAUUUUUACAAGCUGUGUGAAGUGCGCAUCUAGCAAUUUUUGUUUCUCAAUUUGAAUUUCUCAGGGGUUCUUCUCUCGGAGGUGCAACUUUGAUGAGUUGUGCUGCUAGAACAGGGGUUUUUAUCAAGCUUUCAAGGCGCUUUGUGAAGAUACACAGGUGGGCUUGGAUUGAAAUGUCUAUGAAUUCCAAGCUCUCUGGCUCAAAUGGCACAUUGUCAGCAAGUUUCAAGCUGAAGAAGCAAAAUGAUCCUUUGCAUGGGCCUAAUUCUGUCAGGAAAUGGAGGAGAAAGAUUCUGUGUCUUUGGCUAUUAUGUGUUCUCACCAUAGCCAGCAUUUGGUUCCUUUUGAGUUUUGAAAAUGGGGAAUUGAGGAGGAAAGACAAGAGUUUAGAUUCUUGUGAAGACAAAGCUCAAGUCUUGCUCCAGCAUUUCAACGUCAGCGAGAGCCAGCUUCAUGCAUUGGUUUCUUUGUUUUCUGAAUCAGAUCAGAUAACAUCCCUUGAAUGCUCCAAAGAACUGGGACCUGAAAUGGAAAUGACCGAUGGCAUUGCCUGUGCUCUGAAGGUACUGUGUUUGAAGAAGCAGGAGUUUCAACCACAAGGUGGAUGGGCUGCUGAAGGUGUAGAACCUAACAACCAAUGCCCAGCUCAAGAUAAGAACAUCCCGAAGAAACUUGAACAAUCAUUGAGAGACAAAUUGAACAUCAUCCGAACAAGGGAAAUGAGGGACCGCACAGAAGAUCACUGUAAUAUUUUUUCUUGUGGUUUGGAAAAAGUUUGUUGGUGGUUCCUUUUUGCAAUGAUUGUGAGCUGCACAUUAUUUAGUUUACAUGUGCAAUUUUGGAGGAAGAAAAAGCUGAAGCUAGUUCAUCUAGAGCCAGUGACUCAGCAGCGGCACCAGCUGAUGCAGCUCAAGCAGCAACAGCUAUCACAGAGUCCUCCUAAGGGUGCUGGAAAGUGGAGGAAGAAGCUUCUUAUAAUUUUUGUCAUGCUUGGGAUUCUUACUUCUAUUUGGUUGUUUUGGCACUUGAAUGGAAAAAUCAAGCUAAGAAGGGAAGAGACUCUUGCCAACAUGUGUGAUGAGCGAGCACGAAUGCUGCAGGAUCAGUUUAAUGUGAGUAUGAACCAUGUUCAUGCCUUGGCUAUUCUUGUAUCCACCUUUCACUAUGGAAAAGAUCCCUCUGCAAUUGAUCAGAAAACAUUUGGUGAAUAUACUGAGAGAACAGCUUUUGAGAGGCCACUCACUAGUGGUGUUGCAUAUGCUUUGAAAGUUCCACAUUCAGAAAGGAAGCAAUUUGAGAAACAGCAUGGCUGGACAAUAAAGAAAAUGGAGAUGGAGGACCAGAAUCUAGUUCAAGAUUGUAUUCCAGAAAAGUUGGAUCCUGCACCCAUUCAAGAUGAAUAUGCACCUGUUAUAUUUUCUCAAGAAACUGUCUCUCAUAUUGUCUCUAUUGACAUGAUGUCUGGAAAGGAAGACCGAGAGAACAUAUUGCGAGCAAGGGCAUCUGGAAAGGGAGUACUGACAUCUCCUUUUAAGCUUUUGAAAUCCAACCACUUGGGAGUUGUACUUACUUUUGCUGUUUAUAAUGCUGAUAUUCCUCUAGAUUCCACACCAGAACUACGAACUGAAUCUACUGUGGGGUAUCUUGGUGCGUCUUAUGAUAUCCCAUCACUGGUUGAGAAGCUUCUGCACCAACUUGCCAGCAAGCAAACAAUUGUUGUGAAUGUUUAUGACACAACUAAUGCAUUGGCUCCAAUUCUUAUGUAUGGCACUGAUGUUACUGAUACAGGCCUCUUGCACAUCAGCAACCUUGACUUUGGGGAUCCAUUGCGGAAGCAUCAAAUGCAUUGCAGGUUCAAGUAUAAACCUCCUUUGCCUUGGACAGCGAUAAAUGCUUCAGUUGGUGUCCUAGUUAUUACUCUUCUUGUUGGCCAUAUCUUUUAUGCAGCCAUAAGUAGAAUUGCAAAAGUUGAGGAGGAUUAUCGUGAGAUGAUGGAGCUCAAAGUUCGUGCUGAAGCUGCAGAUGUGGCAAAAUCUCAGUUUCUUGCAACUGUUUCCCACGAAAUCAGGACCCCAAUGAAUGGUGUUUUAGGUGAUUAAGAAAUCUCAUUAACAAUGCUUAUUCUGACAAUAUGGCAAGUAUUAGCAAUACAUGCUUCUUUCAAUCAUAUUUCAGGUAUGCUGCAAAUGCUAAUGGAUACUGAGCUUGAUGCAAAUCAAAUGGACUAUGCCCAGACUGCUCAUGCUAGUGGAAAAGAUCUAAUCUCACUGAUAAAUGAGGUUCUUGAUCAGGCUAAGAUAGAAUCAGGCAGGCUAGAACUAGAAUCUAUUCCUUUUGAUCUACAUUCAGUCCUUGAUAACGUUCUAUCGCUUUUUUCGGGCAAAUCCAAUGAAAAAGGGAUUGAGUUAGCUGUUUAUGUCUCCAACCAAGUGCCUGAAGUUGUUAUUGGCGACCCUGGACGGUUCCGGCAGAUAAUUACAAAUCUUGUUGGUAAUUCUGUAAAGUUCACACGAGACAAAGGGCAUAUAUUUGUCUCAGUUCAUCUGGCUGAUGAAGUGAGAAGCCCACUUGGUGUUAGGGAUGCAGUGCUGGAGCAAGGCUUGAAUUUAGCUCGGGACAUGACAAAUGAAAUUGAUAAUACAUUAAGUGGGUGUCCUGUGGUUGACAGAUUGAAAAGUUGGGCAAACUUUAAAAGGUUAAAUAGCACAGAUACAAUAGAGGAACCUGAAAUGAUUAGAUUACUAGUUACAAUUGAGGAUACAGGUGUGGGAAUACCCCUGGAUGCCCAAAGCCGCAUUUUCACUCCUUUUAUGCAG